rnacentral:rRNA from 1 species
AAAGAAAGCGGAAUCACGCACUGGUUGAUGCGGCCUGCGCGGAAGAUGUAACGGGGCUAAACCAUGCACCGAAGCUGCGGCAGCGACACUGUGUGUUGUUGGGUAGGGGAGCGUUCUGUAAGCCUGUGAAGGUGUGUCGUGAGGCAUGCUGGAGGUAUCAGAAGUGCGAAUGCUGACAUAAGUAACGAUAAAGCGGGUGAAAAGCCCGCUCGCCGGAAGACCAAGGGUUCCUGUCCAACGUUAAUCGGGGCAGGGUGAGUCGACCCCUAAGGCGAGGCCGAAAGGCGUAGUCGAUGGGAAACGGGUUAAUAUUCCCGUACUUGGUGUUACUGCGAAGGGGGGACGGAGAAGGCUAUGUUGGCCGGGCGACGGUUGUCCCGGUUUAAGCGUGUAGGUGUGUGUUCCAGGUAAAUCCGGUUCACUUUAACACUGAGGCGUGAUGACGAGGCACUACGGUGCUGAAGCAACAAAUGCCCUGCUUCCAGGAAAAGCCUCUAAGCAUCAGGUAACAUCAAAUCGUACCCCAAACCGACACAGGUGGUCAGGUAGAGAAUACCAAGGCGCUUGAGAGAACUCGGGUGAAGGAACUAGGCAAAAUGGUGCCGUAACUUCGGGAGAAGGCACGCUGACACGUAGGUGAAGUGAUUUACUCAUGGAGCUGAAGUCAGUCGAAGAUACCAGCUGGCUGCAACUGUUUAUUAAAAACACAGCACUGUGCAAACACGAAAGUGGACGUAUACGGUGUGACGCCUGCCCGGUGCCGGAAGGUUAAUUGAUGGGGUCAGCGCAAGCGAAGCUCCUGAUCGAAGCCCCGGUAAACGGCGGCCGUAACUAUAACGGUCCUAAGGUAGCGAAAUUCCUUGUCGGGUAAGUUCCGACCUGCACGAAUGGCGUAAUGAUGGCCAGGCUGUCUCCACCCGAGACUCAGUGAAAUUGAACUCGCUGUGAAGAUGCAGUGUACCCGCGGCAAGACGGAAAGACCCCGUGAACCUUUACUAUAGCUUGACACUGAACAUUGAGCCUUGAUGUGUAGGAUAGGUGGGAGGCUUUGAAGUGUGGACGCCAGUCUGCAUGGAGCCGACCUUGAAAUACCACCCUUUAAUGUUUGAUGUUCUAACGUGGACCCGUGAUCCGGGUUGCGGACAGUGUCUGGUGGGUAGUUUGACUGGGGCGGUCUCCUCCUAAAGAGUAACGGAGGAGCACGAAGGUUGGCUAAUCCUGGUCGGACAUCAGGAGGUUAGUGCAAUGGCAUAAGCCAGCUUGACUGCGAGCGUGACGGCGCGAGCAGGUGCGAAAGCAGGUCAUAGUGAUCCGGUGGUUCUGAAUGGAAGGGCCAUCGCUCAACGGAUAAAAGGUACUCCGGGGAUAACAGGCUGAUACCGCCCAAGAGUUCAUAUCGACGGCGGUGUUUGGCACCUCGAUGUCGGCUCAUCACAUCCUGGGGCUGAAGUAGGUCCCAAGGGUAUGGCUGUUCGCCAUUUAAAGUGGUACGCGAGCUGGGUUUAGAACGUCGUGAGACAGUUCGGUCCCUAUCUGCCGUGGGCGCUGGAGAACUGAGGGGGGCUGCUCCUAGUACGAGAGGACCGGAGUGGACGCAUCACUGGUGUUCGGGUUGUCAUGCCAAUGGCACUGCCCGGUAGCUAAAUGCGGAAGAGAUAAGUGCUGAAAGCAUCUAAGCACGAAACUUGCCCCGAGAUGAGUUCUCCCUGAGACUUAAAGUCUCCUGAAGGAACGUUGAAGACGACGACGU